UACGAAGGUGGCAAGCGUUGUUCGGAUUUACUGGGUGUAAAGGGAGUGUAGGUGGUUAGGUAAGUUUUGUGGGAAAUCUUCAGGCUUAACCUGAAAAGGUCGGGGGGGACUGCCUGGCUAGAGGACGGGAGAGGAGCGCGGAAUUCCAGGUGUAGCGGUGAAAUGCGUAGAUAUCAGGAGGAACACCGGUGGCGAAGGCGGGUCUCUGGGCAAUGACCGACGCUGAGGCGCGAAGGCGUGGGAAGCAAACAGG
rnacentral:rRNA from 1 species